CCAUAGAUGAUACCAAGCAAGCAUAGACACACCUUACUCUCUUGCACAAUCCACAACGGGGAAUGAUAACUGUCGCUAAAAACUGAGCACUGCAGCCUUAUGUGGUUAUUAUUUUUCACUUCCCCAUAAACAUGAUAACGGUUCGAGCCGUUAACACUUGUUCAGUUUUGCGCUUUUCUUCCGCUGCGGCUGCUUCCUUGCCUCCUCGUUUGCAACUCCGAUGUCGUUUUAGCCAUUUUAAGGCGUCGCCGAUCAUCUACUACUCUUCAAAAUUUCGGUCUCGGUCGAAGCCGAUAAUUCGGUGUGACAUAUCUUCGCCGUUCCAAAAUAAUCAUGGAGAUUCUAGUCGUAGUAUUAGGAGAUUUUCGGUGCAAAGCCUCGUUGACAGUGUUAUGGAAGAGCUCGCAGCUCUUCGCAAACGCAGGGGAAAGCUGGUUUGCUCAGCUAUCAAACUAACUAGCAGUGGAGAGCUACUCAAUGAUAAGUUAGUACUAGAGAAAGGAUUGUUGCUGGAGUUUAAGAAGGAUUCUGACAGGAUACUGUUGGCAGUUGCACAGAAACCUGAUGGAAAGAAGAAUUGGAUGGUGUAUGAUCAGAAUGGUGUAACGUCCUCUAUUAAACCACAACAAAUUACCUAUAUCGUUCCAGGCAUUGCAAAUUUUGACCACACGGAAAUAUCAAGCUUUAUUCAGAAGGCUCAAGAUAACUUGGACCCAUCAUUUUUAGAGUUUGCUUGGGUUGAGCUUAUUGAAAAGAAUAAAUCAGUGACGCCAGAGGAAUUAGCAGAGAUGAUUUUUGGUAGUGCAGAGCCUCUUGGGAGCUAUUGUGCACAUCUUUUACUAUCAAAAGAUGAAAUAUAUUUUGCAGUCUUAGAAACAAAAGGUUCCCGUUCUGUUUAUGGACCACGACCUACUACACAGGUAGAAGAACUUAUGCGCAGAAAGCUUGCAAAAGAGGCUGCUGAGGAAGAACUUCAGGGUUUUGUCCAAAAACUAAAGUCUGCUAAGGCAGUGGCUUCACAUGCUAAACCUUCAAAAUCUUCGUGGAUGGUUGAUGAGAAAAUCAGACUCAAAAUUGAGUCGCUUGAAGCAUAUGCUAUUGAUGCAUGCAAAAGUGACGAGCAAAAAAGAACAGCAGGAAUGAUCCUAAAGGCAAUGGGAAUGCCAAAAAUAGCUACCUCUGCUGUAAACCUUCUCAUAGACAUUGGAUAUUUCCCUGUUCAUGUUAACCUUGAUAUGCUGAAGCUAAACAUUCGUACUGAUCAUUCAAAUGUUAUUGAAUUGGCUGCUGAAAGUCUUCUAUCAGAGUCAGUUGACCCGGACAAGAUCCACCGGAAAGAUCUCACUCACUUGAAAGUCUAUGCUAUUGAUGUUGAUGAGGCUGAUGAGCUUGAUGAUGCCCUAAGUGCAACGAAGUUACAAGAUGGUCGGAUCAAAAUUUGGAUACAUGUUGCAGAUCCUGGUCGAUAUGUACAGCCUGGAAGCAUAAUAGACAGGGAGGCAAUGAAAAGAGGAACUUCUGUUUUCUUGCCCACUGCUACUUACCCAAUGUUUCCAGAGAAACUUGCCAUGGAGGGAAUGAGUUUGAAACAAGGAGAGGUCUGCAACGCUGUUUCAGUAUCUGUUGUUCUACAUUCUGAUGGCUGCAUUGCAGAAUAUUCUGUGGUUAACUCAAUCAUCAAACCGACCUACAUGCUAACAUAUGAGAGCGCAUCUGAGCUGCUUAAUUUGAACCUUGAAGAGGAGACUGAGUUGAGAAUUCUUUCUGAGGCUGCAUCUCGCCGGUUCCAGUGGCGUCUCCAACAGGGUGCGGUAGAGACAUCCACAUUAGAAACUCGCAUCAAGGUGGCUAAUCUUGAAGAUCCAGAGCCAUCAAUUAACCUUUAUGUUGAAAACCAAGCUGACCCUGCUAUGCGACUUGUUACCGAGAUGAUGAUACUUUGUGGAGAAGUUAUGGCCACCUAUGGCUCUUGCAAUAACAUUCCUUUACCCUAUAGAGGACAGCCUCAAUCAAACAUUGAUGUAUCUGCAUUUGCACAUCUUCCUGAAGGACCUGUUAGAAGCGCUUCGGUUGUUAAAUUAAUGCGUGCUGCUGAAUAUGAUUUCAGGAAGCCUGUACGCCAUGGGAUUUUAGGAAUUCCUGGUUAUGUUCAGUUUACUUCUCCCAUUCGUAGAUAUAUGGAUCUUCUGGCUCAUUAUCAGGUCAAAGCAGUUCUCAGAGGUGAAACUCCUCCUUUUUCAGCUGGUCAGCUGGAAGUAAUGGCAUCAAUGGUAAAUAUGCAAUUUAAGAUGGUAAAAAGGCUCUGCAACAGCAGUCUUCGCUAUUGGAUUAUAGAAUUCCUGAGAAGGCAGCCCAAGGAGAGAAGAUAUCGUGCACUGAUUCUUAGAUUCAUCAAAGAUCGUAUAGCAUUAUUGCUACUGGUAGAGGUUGGGUUUCAAGCAACUGCAUGGGCAUCCAUAGGAGCACAUGUUGGAGAUGAAAUACAAGUUAAAGUGGAAGAAGCUCAUCCACGUGAUGAUUUUCUUUCCCUCAAGGAGGCUGUAUAAGGAUAACUUAUUAUUUUUUUGAAGAGUAUUCAACCAAAGAAAAGUAGACCCAGCAACCCAAAAAUAUUCCAAGGCAUCUGGUUGUUGGCCAAAUUUAUCUUAGCUUGCUGCUAUUUUGUUUUUGUUGGAUGAGAAUUGGCAUCAAAAAAUUUGCAUGCAAGCUCUGAAGUCAUUCGAGGAGCAACUAUGGAACAAAUUAGUUUCAUCUGUCAAAGGAGAAUGUAUAUUCACAAGCUGCAUGGUUUUUCUAUCCAAUACUAUCCGACUGUGCUGCUAUUCUGAGAAAGUUUGGGACCUGACUGCUCGAAAUUGGUUCAAGGGCUUAUUGCUUUAUCUGCUGCUUAUGGUAUCAUCAUAUAGGAUGUGGCCUGAUACAAAGGUCCCAAUUCUCUCCUUUAAAGCAUGGAUGCCAAGGUGCAUUUUUGUAGUGGCCUAGUGGGGUAAGAUUUACGGUUUUGUGUUUGAUCAUUCAUGUGGUCUGUAUGUACAAAAUUACAGAUAUAAAUUGGUGAUCAAGAUAACAUGUUCUACUAGCAAUUAAAUAACUGUAGUACUUAUGGCAGCGUUUUACAUUGAAAGCUUUAAUUGCUUCGGAUA